CUCCUCAGCGGCCCUAAUCAUGUGGCCGGGUCCCAGGUAUCGGAAGGCUGAUGUUGCUACAUCCGAAGCCCCCGCCCAGCGCUUUGGCGGGGGGGAAGGGCCCCUCUUUUAUGGUGCCGGGCGUACGCCUUGCGUCAUAACGGGGAUUUCGGUGGCCGGGGCCCCGGCCACCAAAAUCCCCGUUAUAGGCUAUAUAGGCUAUUACGGGUUAUAUAACCUAUAUCCUUGCCUAUAGGCUAUAGGCUAGGUUAUAGGCCCGUUAUAGGCUAUAGCUGGCAACAUAACGAGCCGGCAUGCGGCCCCGUUGCAAGGGUCCUUGCAACGGGGCAUAACAGCCCCCAUGCAAGGUCCGAGCCCUGUUAUAGCGGGGUGCUGCCAUAACCAGGACAGUCAAUACUGUCCUUGUUAUGGCAAUACAAGGCCAUGGUAAGGGCAGUAUGGCAGGUCAAGGCCAUAACAAGGACUGUUACGAUCCCAUAACAGGGCCAUAACAGUCCCUAUUAUGGUACCGGCUAUAGUCCUUGCACGGGAUAUAGGGCAGGGUCGGCGCAGUCUCGUUUCCUCCCUGCCAAGUCACAACGUACGGCUUGGCCCGUUUGUUGUGGUAACCGACAAACUUCUGGUUUGUGGAGGGUUCGGCGAUGGCUUGUUUCUGGCCCUCCCUGGGUUGCCGCUUUUCCGGUAUUUUGCCCGAGUUUGGUAUCCUAGGCCCUCUUCUUUCGGGAGGACUGGCUGUUGUAAAUCCGUUCGGCCUAUUUAUGUUUUUGAUCCCUCCGGGACGAAAACUGUUAGCAGGGGAUACGGUUAGUCUUUUUGCUCCCUCCGUAAACAAAGGCGAUACACGCCCGGUAAAGGUCGCUACGGCGACACGGAUGCUUAACAAUCAAAAAUAUCUCCUAAAUG
rnacentral:lncRNA from 1 species